CUUCCUCCAUCAGAAGGGUGCCCAGCAGUAGGGGCAGCACUUUGGAAGGAAUUUUAAGGAGAAUACAACUUCCUGUGAAAGGUAUCCCUGAGACUGUCUGCCAGACCCAAAAAGAGGAACACAAUCCUUCAUCUGGCGAUGGAUGGCGAUACAGAUG